GAAGGUAUAGCUCAGUGGUAGAGCACGUGCUGAGCAUGUGCGAGGUCCUGGGUUCAAUCCCCAGUACCUCCA
rnacentral:tRNA from 1 species